GGCACGCUCACAUGGAUGGAAAAACACAUGGUGCGAUACCAGCUGGACGGAGAUGCACUGCUUUUACAAGCAGUGCCCUGUAAUGCUAUUUAUGUUGGUGAGACACGAUUUGUCAGCAGUGUUUGCGUCUGCGAACGGAUAUGUGCAGCUCUCACGCAACUGCAGUGGGUCAGCGCUGCCCCCUGUUGGAUUUGCACUCACAUUGCAAGCCUCGGUGUUGUCCUGUCGGUGGGGCAGCAGGAAGGAGAAGACCCUCAGAUCCCCAUCACACUCCUCCACAGUCUGGUUCAGCUCCUGGCAGCUUGUCACCACCGUGUAGAAGUGGGUGGGGACGGACGGGGCUUCGCCCGAGAACCUGGACAGAAGAGAGAGUUACACAGACUGUACAGCGACCAUGGGGUUUGGCCGUCGUAGUCGUUGUCAAAUAUGGGUCCAGCUUGAACGUUGAUGCCGUUGUUUUCCUCUGCGUAACGCCUCAGCAGCGUCCCCUGCAGGU